rnacentral:rRNA from 1 species
AGUGAACGCUGGCGGUAGGCCUAACACAUGCAAGUCGAACGGCAGCACAGUAAGAGCUUGCUCUUACGGGUGGCGAGUGGCGGACGGGUGAGGAAUACAUCGGAAUCUACUUUUUCGUGGGGGAUAACGUAGGGAAACUUACGCUAAUACCGCAUACGACCUACGGGUGAAAGCAGGGGAUCUUCGGACCUUGCGCGAUUGAAUGAGCCGAUGUCGGAUUAGCUAGUUGGCGGGGUAAAGGCCCACCAAGGCGACGAUCCGUAGCUGGUCUGAGAGGAUGAUCAGCCACACUGGAACUGAGACACGGUCCAGACUCCUACGGGAGGCAGCAGUAGGGAAUAUUGGACAAUGGGCGAAAGCCUGAUCGAGCCAUGCCGCGUGAGUGAAGAAGGCCUUCGGGUUGUAAAGCCCUUUUGUUGGGAAAGAAAAUCAGCAGGUUAAUACCCCGCUGUUCUGACGGUACCCAAAGAAUAAGCACCGGCUAACUUCGUG